rnacentral:misc_RNA from 1 species
GGUUUAUUACUGUGGCAGUCCAGUUGGAACUAUAGCUGCUAAUGAUCCAAGUGAAGCAACUAUGCUAAACUAUGAUCAAGUUUUUAUACGCGAUUUUAUACCUUCUGGGAUAGCAUUCCUUCUUAAAGGAGAAUACGAUAUCGUGAGGAACUUUAUACUUCACACGCUUCAGUUGCAGAGUUGGGAGAAAACAAUGGAUUGCUAUAGUCCAGGUCAAGGACUUAUGCCCGCCAGCUUCAAAGUGCGUACAAUUCCACUUGAUAAUGACGAAUCUGCAACAGAAGAUGUACUGGAUCCAGACUUCGGUGAGGCAGCAAUUGGUCGAGUUGCUCCUGUUGAUUCAGGAUUAUGGUGGAUUAUACUGCUAAGAGCUUAUGGAAAAUGCUCCGGGGAUCUUUCAGUUCAGGAGAGAAUUGAUGUGCAAAC